CCUACGGGAGGCAGCAGUGGGGAAUAUUGCACAAUGGGCGAAAGCCUGAUGCAGCAACGCCGCGUGCGCGAUGAAGGCCUUCUGGUCGUAAAGCUCCGUCCUUAAGGAAGAUAAUGACGGUACUUGAGGAGGAAGCCACGGCUAACUACGUGCCAGCAGCCGCGGUAAUACGCAGGGGGCUAUCGUUAUCCGGAGUUACUGGGCGUAAAGGGUGCGUAGGGGGUUUCUUAAGUCAGAGGUGAAAGGCUACGGCUCAACCGUAGUAAGCCUUUGAAAAUGGGGAACUUGAGUGCAGGAGAGGAGGGUGGAAUGCCUGGUGUAGCGGUGAAAUGCGUAGAGAUUAGGAAGAACACCGGUUGCGAAGGCAGCUCUCUGGACUGUAACUGACGCUGAGGCACGAAAGCGUGGGGAGCAAACAGGAUUAGAUACCCCUGUAGUC
rnacentral:rRNA from 1 species